CAAAUUUCAUUCGAAAAAUUUAGAAGCAGGUACAAAUAUAACUGCAGAUAUCGGCACGAUUUUGAUCAAACUUUCUGCGGGAACAGUCCGGAAUGGUCAGAAUUCCUUCGGCAGCAGGCAGAAGCACAAGUACCCCCUUCCUGUUGAACAAAACAUUGAUGUGGAGACAACUCAGUGUGUUUCAGGCUGGAUAAGUGUGUUUAAUGUGUUGUUUCAUGUUGUGCAGCAUUAUGUGGGUUAGGGUUUGGAUAAGGCAUAUAGGAGGAGUUGGAUCAAAUCCAGCUCCACCCCCUGGAAUUUUGGUGAUUCUGAAGCCAAGACUAUCUCAGCAAAAGCAGGCUUUAAAAUCACAUCUAAUUUGAAGCAAAUAUAUGAAGAAAGGAACUAUGAUAUGGGAAGUGUUUGGGGGUGUGAUUGAUGUCUAUUACUUGUUGGUUGCAUUAUCCUUGUAGCUUCAGUGCAAAAGUAAGGAAUCAAAUGUCAGACUGGCUGACCAACUACAUUUAGGAUGAGCAAAAUCCUGUUAAUUCUAUUUUCUUUUCUUUUUUGCCCAAAUGUUCCUUAUGAAAAUGCCACAUAUUCAGAUUUGUACAAGUAAACAGGCGUUAAUGUUCUGAUAAACCAUAAUUAGGUGAUUAUCAUGACAUUGAACAUUAUGGCCCCUGCUGGACUGCACAAUUGUAACUCUCAGCCCAUCUGUAUACACACCCUUACAUGUUGCACUGCAGACUAUAAAACAUGGAGAGUUUUUCAGUGAUACCCACGAGUUACGUGUGUUUAGCGUGUACAUAAACCAUACCGAGGAGCAACAUCGGUUCCUCUGCAGCACUUUACCACUGUUUAUUGGUGGUCUUUGAAAAGAGGUAUAACGUUUACAUUAGAUUUAAUUAUGUUGAAAGACGGUAUGACUAGCGAGACAGUUUGAUUAUAUUUGAUAAGAGUAAUGAACACUGCACAUUUGCCACAACCACUGCUGCACGCACUGAAGGUGUGCAUCCUGUUUUUAAAAUACAAAUGUUUUUGCCCCCCCCCCAUUAUAAAAAGUUGCGUUGACAAUGUUUUAUCCGUGAUAUCGUGCUUUUAUUUGUGAACUUUGAAGUAAAAACAACAAAAUGUUCUUUAAUGUUUUGCAGUUGUAUGUCAGAACAUCUUUUCCUCUAAUAUAUAGUUUAUCAAAGCACAUGUGAUUGUAUUGAAUGUGGCGUGCCUCAUUUAUGACCAUAGGGGUGAAGCUAGGAUCUGACGUUUAGGGUUGCUCAGCCCUUAAUGAGUGUUGCAUGCAAACUUGAAAAGCACUAGCUGGUUUUCAUUAUGGGAGCUGACUGAUUAGUGAUCCAACAAAUAAACUAAAGAAGGGGCUUUAAAAUGAGAAUGAAGGUGCCACACUGUACCGUGGACAAAGCCUGCCCAAAUUAUGGUCUUUUCAAGUUUAUAAAUGCUGUGUGUGUGUGUGUGUGCGUGUGCGUGUGUGUGCAUGCUUGGGCAUAACUAAGGCAUUUCAUGCUAUAAACCUACAAAAGAAACCAUUGUAAUUGAACAGUUGUCAAAGUGUUCAGGUACUUUCUGUUGAGCUUUUUAGCACUGUAAAUAAAAUCUUGAUUCCGCUUAUACAUCAAGUAUUCAACUAUGUGACUAG
ensembl:lncRNA